rnacentral:rRNA from 1 species
AAAUUGAAGAGUUUGAUCAUGGCUCAGAUUGAACGCUGGCGGCAGGCCUAACACAUGCAAGUCGAACGGUAACAGGAAGCAGCUUGCUGCUUUGCUGACGAGUGGCGGACGGGUGAGUAAUGUCUGGGAAACUGCCUGAUGGAGGGGGAUAACUACUGGAAACGGUGGCUAAUACCGCAUAACGUCGCAAGACCAAAGAGGGGGACCUUCGGGCCUCUUGCCAUCAGAUGUGCCCAGAUGGGAUUAGCUAGUUGGUGAGGUAACGGCUCACCAAGGCGACGAUCCCUAGCUGGUCUGAGAGGAUGACCAGCCACACUGGAACUGAGACACGGUCCAGACUCCUACGGGAGGCAGCAGUGGGGAAUAUUGCACAAUGGGCGCAAGCCUGAUGCAGCCAUGCCGCGUGUAUGAAGAAGGCCUUAGGGUUGUAAAGUACUUUCAGCGGGGAGGAAGGUGUUGCGGUUAAUAACC